UGCGGGGUAGAGCAGAGGCAGCUCGUCGGGCUCAUAACCCGGAGGUCGGAGGUUCGAAUCCUCCCCCCGCUACCA
rnacentral:tRNA from 1 species